rnacentral:sRNA from 1 species
CCGCGCCCCGCCCCCGGCAGCCAGAACGCGUUGCCGCAGGCAACGACCCGAAGGGCGAAGCGCGCAGCGCUGAGUCAUCCUUCCCCCACCACCA